CUGGCUCAGGACGAACGCUGGCGGCGUGCNUAAUACAUGCAAGUCGAGCGGACUUNUUCGGAGNUUAGCGGCGGACGGNUGAGUAACANGUGGGCAACCUGCCUGUAAGACUGGGAUAANUCCGGGAAACCGGAGCUAAUACCGGAUAGUAUCUUGAACCNCAUGGUUCAAGUUGGAAAGACGGUUUCGGCUGUCACUUACAGAUGGGCCCGCGGCGCAUUAGCUAGUUGGUGAGGUAAUGGCUCACCAAGGCAACGAUGCGUAGCCGACCUGAGAGGGUGAUCGGCCACACUGGGACUGAGACACGGCCCAGACUCCUACGGGAGGCAGCAGUAGGGAAUCUUCCGCAAUGGACGAAAGUCUGACGGAGCAACGCCGCGUGAGUGAUGAAGGUUUUCGGAUCGUAAAACUCUGUUGUUAGGGAAGAACAAGUGCGAGAGUAACUGCUCGCACCUUGACGGUACCUAACCAGAAAGCCACGGCUAACUACGUGCCAGCAGCCGCGGUAAUACGUAGGUGGCAAGCGUUGUCCGGAAUUAUUGGGCGUAAAGCGCGCGCAGGCGGUUUCUUAAGUCUGAUGUGAAAGCCCCCGGCUCAACCGGGGAGGGUCAUUGGAAACUGGGAAACUUGAGUGCAGAAGAGGAGAGUGGAAUUCCACGUGUAGCGGUGAAAUGCGUAGAGAUGUGGAGGAACACCAGUGGCGAAGGCGACUCUCUGGUCUGUAACUGACUCNAAGGCGGGCCAAGCGUGGGA
rnacentral:rRNA from 1 species